rnacentral:rRNA from 1 species
UACGUAGGGUGCGAGCGUUAAUCGGAAUUACUGAGCGUAAAGCGUGCGCAGGCGGUUCGCUGUGUCCGAUGUGAAAGCCCCGGGCUUAACCUGGGAAUGGCAUUGGAAACUGGCGAGCUGGAGUGUGGCAGAGGGGGGUGGAAUUCCGCGUGUAGCAGUGAAAUGCGUAGAGAUGCGGAGGAACACCGAUGGCGAAGGCAGCCCCCUGGGUUAACACUGACGCUCAGGCACGAAAGCGUGGGGAGCAAACAGG